ensembl:lncRNA
GGCAGGGUAGCCUAGUGGUUAGAGUGUAGAGGAGGCAGGGUAGCCUAGUGGUUAGAGUGUAGAGGAGGCAGGGUAGCCUAGUGGUUAGAGUGUAGAGGAGGUAGGGUAGCCUAGUGGUUAGAGGGUAGAGGAGGUAGGGUAGCCUAGUGGUUAGAAUGUAGAGGUGGUAGGUAGCCUAGUGGUUAGAGUGUAGAGGAGGCAGGUAGCCUAGUGGUUAGAGUGUAGAGGAGGCAGGUAGCCUAGUGGUUAGAGUGUAGAGGUGGCAGGUAGCCUAGUGGUUAGAGUGUAGAGGAGGCAGGUAGCCUAGUGGUUAGAGGGUAGAGGUGGUAGGUAGCCUAGUGGUUAGAGUGGAGGGGCGGCAG